rnacentral:rRNA from 1 species
GCAGCCGCCGCGGUAAUACGUAGGGUGCAAGCGUUAAUCGGAAUUACUGGGCGUAAAGCGUGCGCAGGCGGUUCCGCAAGUCAGAUGUGAAAUCCCCGGGCUCAACCUGGGAACUGCAUUUGAAACUACGGGGCUAGAGUGUGUCAGAGGGGGGUGGAAUUCCACGUGUAGCAGUGAAAUGCGUAGAGAUGUGGAGGAACACCAAUGGCGAAGGCAGCCCCCUGGGAUGACACUGACGCUCAUGCACGAAAGCGUGGGGAGCAAACAGGAUUAGAUACCCGCGUAGUCCCUGUCUCUUAUAC